UACGUAGGGGGCAAGCGUUGUCCGGAAUCAUUGGGCGUAAAGCGCGUGUAGGCGGUCCGAUAAGUUCGCUGUGAAAGUCGGGGGCUUAACCCUCGGAUGCCGGUGAAUACUGUCGGGCUUGAGUACGGAAGAGGCGAGUGGAAUUCCUGGUGUGGCGGUGAAAUGCGCAGAUAUCAGGAGGAACACCAAUUGCGAAGGCAGCUCGCUGGGACGUUACUGACGCUGAGACGCGAAAGCUAGGGGAGCAAACAGG
rnacentral:rRNA from 1 species